GUGCCAGCAGCCGCGGUAAUACGGAGGGUGCAANGCGUUAAUCGGAAUUACUGGGCGUAAAGCGCACGCAGGCGGUCUGUUAAGUCAGAUGUGAAAUCCCCCGGGCUCAACCUUGGGAACUGCAUCUGAUACUGGCAGGCUUGAGUCUCGUAGAGGGGGGGGUAGAAUUCCCAGGUGUAGCGGUGAAAUGCGUAGAGAUCUGGAGGAAUACCGGUGGCGAAGGCGGCCCCCUGGACGAAGACUGACGCUCAGGUGCGAAAGCGUGGGGAGCAAACAGGAUUAGAUACCCUGGUAGUCC
rnacentral:rRNA from 1 species